rnacentral:rRNA from 1 species
UUCGGAUGACCUGUGGGUAGGGGUGAAAGGCCAAUCAAACUCCGUGAUAGCUGGUUCUCCCCGAAAUGCAUUUAGGUGCAGCGUUGCGUGUUGCUUGCCGGAGGUAGAGCUACUGGUUGGUUGAGCGGGACUACAAUCUUAGCAAUGUCAGCCAAACUCCGAAUGCCGGUAAGUGAGAGCGCAGCAGUGAGACGGUGGGGGAUAAGCUUCAUCGUCGAGAGGGAAACAACCCAGACUACCAACUAAGGUCCCUAAGCGUGUGCUAAGUGGGAAAGGAUGUGGAGUUGCAUAGACAACCAGGAGGUUGGCUUAGAAGCAGCCACCCUUGAAAGAGUGCGUAAUAGCUCACUGGUCAAGUGAUUCCGCGCCGACAAUGUAACGGGGCUCAAGCACACCACCGAAGUUGUAGAUUUCGUAUUAUAGACAAGCCUUCGUGGUUCAGUCGUACGGAGUGGUAGGAGAGCGUCGUGUGGCCAGUGAAGCGGCGGUGUAAACCAGCCGUGGAGGCCACACGAGUGAGAAUGCAGGCAUGAGUAGCGAAAGACGGGUGAGAAACCCGUCCUCCGAAAGACCAAGGGUUCCAGGGCCAGGUUAAUCCGCCCUGGGUAAGUCGGGACCUAAGGCGAGGCCGACAGGCGUAGUCGAUGGUUAACGGGUUGAUAUUCCCGUACCCGUAUAUGUGCGUCCAUGGUGAAUCAGUGAUACUAACCAUCCACAAGUCUUCCGCUGCUGUCUUUGAUGGUGGUGGUUGGGGCGUGCGUGGAGCCUGAUCUGGUAGUAGCUAAGUGAUGGGGUGACGCAGUGGGGUAGCUGAGCCACUUAUUGGAUUGUGGUGCAAGCGUGUAGGGCGAUCGGUAGGUAAAUCCGCCGGUCAUGAUGCCUGAGGCGUGAUGCGUAGCCCCUUUUUGGGGUGAUGUUGGUGAUCCCGUGCUGUCGAGAAAAGCCUCUAGCGAGUGCAUAUAUGGCCCGUACCCUAAACCGACACAGGUAGUCAGGUAGAGAAUACUAAGGCGUUCGGGUGAACUGUGGUUAAGGAACUCGGCAAAAUGCCCCCGUAACUUCGGGAGAAGGGGGGCCAUUGCUGGUGAUACAUCUUGCAUGUUGAGCUGGUGGUGGUCGCAGAGAAUAGAGGGAAGCGACUGUUUAUUAAAAACACAGGUCCGUGCGAAAACGAUUAAGUUGAGGUAUACGGACUGACGCCUGCCCGGUGCUGGAAGGUUAAGAGGACCUGUUAGCUGUUAAAGGCGAAGCGGAGAAUUUAAGCCCCAGUAAACGGCGGUGGUAACUAUAACCAUCCUAAGGUAGCGAAAUUCCUUGUCGGGUAAGUUCCGACCUGCACGAAUGGCGUAACGACUUCCCCGCUGUCUCGACCAUGAGCUCGGCGAAAUUGCAGUACGAGUAAAGAUGCUCGUUACGCGCGGCAGGACGAAAAGACCCCGGGACCUUCACUAUAGCUUGGUAUUGGUGUUCGAUUCGGUUUGUGUAGGAUAGGUGGGAGACUGUGAAGCAUUGGCGCCAGCUGGUGUGGAGUCAUUGUUGAAAUACCACUCUGGUCACUUUGGAUAUCUAACUAGGAACCGUGAUCCGGUUCUGGGACAGUGCCUGGUGGGUAGUUUAACUGGGGCGGUUGCCUCCUAAAGAGUAACGGAGGCGCCCAAAGGUUCCCUCAGAAUGGUUGGAAAUCAUUCGUAGAGUGCAAAGGCAGAAGGGAGCUUGACUGCGAGACUUACAAGUCGAGCAGGGACGAAAGUCGGGACUAGUGAUCCGGCACCUACUUGUGGAAGUGGUGUCGCUCAACGGAUAAAAGGUAC